CGCGCGUGUGUAUGCGCGCGCGUACGUGUGGUGUGUUUAAUUAAAAUCGUUGCGAACACAUUUUCGUGUACGACGCCGCUAUCAAUGCACGACGCGGUCCAUUACCGAGCCGCCCGUUAAUUAUACGGUUUUGUCGCGUUUUAACGUUUCGCGCGACGCCUCGGGGCUAAUUAUUACUUACAUCACAACACCACGUCGCGGGCGAGUAGUAUAAAACAAAAUAUUAUAAUUGCGCCGGUGGAAUUGCACGUUAAUCGAAUGCCGCGCGGCGAACGAAUAGCCGCGCACAGUCGCAAUCGUCAACCGCGGUGUUGUUUUUUUUUUUUUUUAUCUAAAGAAAUCCUCCGCGGAUCUAGACGGAUACGUUUGGGUUAUUAUCGCGGCGGGUAGGGGCGAAAGUCGGUAACUGCGCAGGAGAGAAAAGCAAAAGCGGACGUUUUUCAAAUGCGGCGCUGUCGCAAAACUGCUCAAGACACAAAUUUGCACAAAAGAACAACGGACCGACGAGUGUACAAUACCGGGUAUAAUAGUUGAUUUAACGGUUUCAUCAAUUAACCAUUAAUAUUAUAUUAAGACGAUGUUUUUUUUUUUUUUUUACGAAUCCGGACAUGUACCGAAUCUGGUAUAGUUGAAUACUUUAAUAACACUUAGCUCUAUUAUGCGCCAUGAACGAAAUUGUCUUUUAUUUUUUUUUUACCUAGAUAAAAUGUAGCUGUUUUUUUUAUCUUCACGUAGAUAAUUGUUCCAGCGACAAUCUUUUAUCUCUAUCCGUAUAUUUUAAAACGUAUUUUUAUACAACGCUGCUUGUCAAUCUCUACGUCAAUGUUCUACGUACGGGUGUUAUAUUAUUGCGUAAAGGUCGCAUUUACCGCGACAUCGUCGACAGCAAUAUACGAGCAUCAGUCGACGGAUUUGGUUUUCAGAGUG